rnacentral:pre_miRNA from 13 species
UCAGUUGAGGUAGUAGGUUGUAUAGUACGUAAUAAUCUUAAGCAGUUACUGUGCAGCCUGCUAACUUUCCUGA